GCCACACCUUUUUUUAGGAAGUAAAAGGCCUUUAAAUAUAAUCGUAAAAACGUCCACCUUCAGGUCAUGGUGCACGUAAUUUUUUAAAGUAAAUGUAAGAAUGACUUUUAUAUUGUUAUUAAUAUUUAAGAUGAACACUUACUGGAUGGAAGCAGCUUAGGUUUAAUUGAUUAUCCUUUUUUUUUUUUUUUUUAAGAAAAAUCAUGUUAAAAUGCAUAUUGAAUAUUACACAUAAGGCUUUUGAGAAAUAUUUAUUUGUUAAUUUCUCAACAAUUAUUGUAUUGCAUUGCAUUAUAUGUUUUGCCCAACAAUAAAUAACUACAGAGCUUUGAUAAUAAAACUAAGCAUUUAAAUAUCAUUUUACUAAGACAUACUAUUGGAAGAUACAGAGUGACAACUAAUAUUUAAAUGCAUUUUAUGUAAGUUGGCAUAUACAUUUUUAAUAAACUGUCCCAUUUAAAAAAAAAAUUGUUCUAACUAUUAUUUCAAAUGUCAGUCUUUACAGAGUAAUUGUUUCCAAUUCACCUGUAUUUUCACUUUGUUCGGAACACCAACAGUUUGUUUUAGACAGGUGUGAACAAAAAAGAUUUAGGACAUAUUUUAAAAAUUAACAUCAGAUCUGAAUGCUUGAAAAUAUAAAUAGCACAAUGUUCAGAGAACAUUCUCCAUAGCUUACUUUUACUGACCUCUGACCUCAAGCUAUUUACAACAAAAAAGUCCCUUCAGAAGAAAACAGGUGACAUGUGUAGGAUCUGGAUUUUGGCAGGGUUCCCGAAUCUCAUCCAGCACUUCCUUCACCUGUUGCUCUGAUAACACACCCUUCCAGCGCAGCAGACCAGGUACAUACUGCUCACUGCAAAACAAUCAGAAGAAGACUUCACUUUCAUCUGAUGAAAACAAAAUCACUCAUUCUCUGUCUGAAUACUCACACAAUGAAAACAGCUACAUUUAAUCAAAUGUGAAUUCAUGUUUGCAUUUGUAGUGAAGCGUUAAUUGUUGAUCUGGGUUUAC
ensembl:lncRNA